rnacentral:rRNA from 1 species
UACGUAGGGUGCAAGCGUUGUUCGGAAUCAUUGGGCGUAAAGCGCGUGUAGGUGGUUUGCUAAGUCGGGUGUGAAAUCCCUGGGCUCAACCCAGGAAGUGCAUUCGAAACUGGCUGACUAGAAGAUGGUAGAGGAAGGUGGAAUUCCAAGUGUAGAGGUGAAAUUCGUAGAUAUUUGGAGGAAUACCGGUGGCGAAGGCGGCCUUCUGGACCAUUCUUGACACUGAGACGCGAAAGCGUGGGUAGCAAACAGG